AGCAGGUUUGUUAAGUCAUGACGGAGGGAGAAGAACGAGAGUAAAAGUUCAGCAGAGAGAGUCAAUAGUGAAUCAGAGGAGGGUUCAUGGGUAGUAUCACGCAGCCACACACUCUCACACCGCAGCAGGGGCUGCCACUGCUGCAGAGAUGCCCAGGGAGAAGACAGGAGUGAGGGGGCGAAGGCAAGAGGGGCAAAAAAAGAGAAGAGGAGAAAAAUAUCAGGCAUCAGCAGAAAGGUGAAACAAAGAAGAGGAGGCUCUGCGCUCAACCUCCACAGUGUUACAGACUUCAGCAUCUCCCCCAGUCAGAGAGCGGAGCUGUGGAGGACGUCAGGAUCCCACACAGAGCGGGAGAGGAGGAGAGGACGUGUGGGUGAGCGGAGAGGUGGAGUGUGUGUGUCUGUGUGUGUAAAAGCGGGGACAAUUUGCAUGAUUCUCAGUAAGAAAGAAACAUUGAUAACAUUUGAUUAUGUGUAUACGGGCUAUGUAGAGGUUGUGGGUAGUUACGAAUUCAUGCGUUACAUAGUUAUUCCCGUGGUGUGUGUGUUUGUGUGUGUCAUAUUAUUUCCUCAGCUGUCCGUCACGUGUGUUUUCUGUUCCUAAACUUACUGAACUUCCUCCCUUCACUGACGAGCGACCGGGAGAAUCUGACAGAUCAGAACGACAGCCAUCGUCCCUAUGCCAUUUGGCUUGCGAUGGGCGUCUGGCGCAGGGGAGGCUGCCUGUCAACUGGCUGUGACUGCGCUGAGCCUCGCCGGGGCAGAUGGGCCGUUACGCCGGCGCUAAUGCGGACGCACGGCUCCCGCGGCUGCCUGAGACACGAUCUUUAGAACUCCGAGCAGCUGCUGCCAUUUACGACGACAGCCUCCUGCUAACUUUCACCAACUGCACCAGCUGACUCCUGCUACCUGAGACUUAUGCUGCAUGAAACUCUCUUAUUCUUCUUUUUUUGUUGUUGUGUUUCUGUGUCUUUCUCACUCUUGGCGUCCAGUCCAGAGGAAAAUUUCUUUCAUACCACAUCCAAUCAUUUCAGAACAUAAUCAUAUCAUAUCACACAGUGGUGUGUGUGUAUGAUGGAACUGAGAGAGAAAAUGCCACAUUUUGGAUUUGACAGAAUACAUUUACGUCAUUUAUCAGACACCCUUAUCCAGAGUGACUUACAAUCAAGUGUCUUGCUCAGGGACACAAUGGUAGUAGGUGGGUACUGAACCUGUUUGAUAGGCGAGUGUCUUACCCACCAGGCCACUGCCAACCCUGAUUAUAAUUUUACCACCACUGAUUCUGAGAAGCUGAACCCAUUAGAGAGGAAACAGAACAUGGUCCUGUGAUGGAGCGGGUUUAACCACAAGGCCAGAACAACCUCACACACGCUAACACACACACACACACACACACACACACUGACAGUGUUUUUUGAAUGACUGUUGAUAACCCACAAUAAAAUACAUGGGUGGGUGUAAGUACA
rnacentral:lncRNA from 1 species